CUCACCUGACCUCAGCCGGGGGGAAAGAGUCACACUCACAGUAGCAGCACAGAUAAAAGUCAGGACUGUAAUACGGAUGAAGGAUUUCUGGCUGUGUAAUGUGAACCAGGCCCAGGCUGAUGUGGUGAUUUGAGAGCCUCUUUCUUCAUGGACAGUUUGCAUUCCCCAAAUAUCUGAUUGAUCACAAUGGUCCCUUCUGGCCUUGGAAUCUACGAAAAGCCGAGGCAGAGCCCAGGCUGUGCGUGCAGUGUAGACACACCCCAAGAAGCCAGGUUGGCCCCUUGCACUGGUGGUGGCUGAACUUCAGAGGUGUUCAUUUGCAGGAGAGCCAUCCGCUGACAAAAGCCACAGGCAUAGAAAAGGUCCAGCUUCUGUCGCUGUGAGUGAUGUUACAGAACCUGUAAUCCCUGAAGGAUUCUUGACUAUGAUGGUGGCCAUUCACUGUCCUCUGAGAUUUUCUCAUUUCCAUGACGCUUGAGACUGAAGUGAAGCUUUGUUUCCAACUAACAGCCAGUGAGAAUGACGAGGCUCAGACCAGCCGUGGAAUGUUACCCACAUACAUAAAAGGCUAAAAAGAAAGUCAAGACCCAUUUUGUGCUUUUACUGUACACGGGAGUGGAGAGGCCUACACAUAAGCUGGGGAACUCAGUGGGGCUACGUUUAUGAGGAAGCAAAAGGAUCAGGAGUACCACCACUUGGAACAAGGGUUGUCAUUUCAGCACAGCAGGAACUACAUCCCUGCUUGAAAGACAUCCUUGCUACAGAUUGAGGAGAAGUUGAAUGGUCUAAUAUUUCCAGUCCACACAGGGGACAAGAAAGAAGACAACAAGCUACAUGUGCGAGAGUCUGAAAUGAUCCUUUAAUAAAAGACAUUCAGUCUGCACUGUGGGCUAGAUGGCGGAGCGUGUGAAAUGCCUGGGAUUACAAUGAGGGCGCGUCCAGGAUAUCUGGUUUUGAUCCUUGUUUUGUUUCAGAACAUUUGGAAAUAAUAUUUCUUAGCACAAACACUCUGCAAAACAAUUGACAUUUAUUUUCUGGUUUAACAAGCAAAGAACUUAAGAUGGAUAAGUCUUAAAACAGGGUUCUCAACCUUUUUCUUUCUGAGGCCCUUCCCCCUCCCCAUAUUAUAAAAUUUCCACGGACCAUCUGUGCCACAACAACUGUUUUUCUGCAUAUAAAAGCCAGAGACAGUGUUAGAGGGCAGC